UAAGAAAAGGAGGAUGUAGUACUCAAAAAAUGCCCCAAAUCCCUAAAGAGUGCAUAAUUAACAUACUGGCAAAACAUUAAAAUUUAAUAUUCCUUAUUUCAGCCUUAUUCCAUCUUCCUGAGGCCAACACUCCAAUGUGGCCUGAGCAAUAUCCAUUCAUCCUGUGUGUCAGAGUGGCAGUGCUGUGAAGUAGCCACAAGCGGAGGAAAAAAAACCUCUGACAUUUUCCUCUUGCUAUUCCAAUUGCUAAGCCAAGGGGACUUGCUGCCUACAAAUAAAGGUUCCUUUAAAAACAUUCCGUUAACCAAAAGCCGUAUGAUUGUUUGAGGAGGCACACAUCCAUUAAAAUGAAUAUGUCGGGGAGAUGCCAAUCAGAAGACGGCUGAAGAAUUAUUGCUAAAUGUGAGUUUGCUGCUCAAAGAGAAAUAGCAAAAAAAAAAAAAAAAAAAAAAAAAAGUGUUAGCAUUAAUUACUAGGUUUACAGCACUUCAGCUCCACUCCAAAAUAAAUGAAUAACUAAGUAACGUGUGGAGAGCUAA
rnacentral:lncRNA from 1 species